rnacentral:sRNA from 1 species
UUUUGGAAUAGGAGCUGGCACAGCCUUCGAAUUCAAGAAGGACGGUCAAAAGAUAGUUGGUUUCCAUGGAAGAGCUGGUGAUCUACUUCACAAAUUUGGAGUCCAUGUCGCGCCAAUAACCAAAU